GGACUGUGGGUCAGGGGUAGAGCGCUCGCCUAGCAUGCAUGGGGCAUUGGGUUCAAUCCUCAGCACCA
rnacentral:tRNA from 1 species